rnacentral:rRNA from 1 species
GAUGAACGCUGGCGGCGUGCCUAAUACAUGCAAGUCGAGCGAACAGACGAGUAGCUUGCUCCUCUGACGUUAGCGGCGGACGGGUGAGUAACACGUGGAUAACCUACCUAUAAGACUGGGAUAACUUCGGGAAACCGGAGCUAAUACCGGAUAAUAUAUUGAACCGCAUGGUUCAAUAGUGAAAGACGGUUUUGCUGUCACUUAUAGAUGGAUCCGCGCCGCAUUAGCUAGUUGGUAAGGUAACGGCUUACCAAGGCAACGAUGCGUAGCCGACCUGAGAGGGUGAUCGGCCACACUGGAACUGAGACACGGUCCAGACUCCUACGGGAGGCAGCAGUAGGGAAUCUUCCGCAAUGGGCGAAAGCUUGACGGAGCAACGCCGCGUGAGUGAUGAAGGUCUUCGGAUCGUAAAACUCUGUUAUUAGGGAAGAACAAAUGUGUAAGUAACUAUGCACGUCUUGACGGUACCUAAUCAGAAAGCCACGGCUAACUACGUG